rnacentral:rRNA from 1 species
GACGAACGCUGGCGGCGUGCUUAACACAUGCAAGUCGAACGGAAAGGCCCCCUUGUGGGGUACUCGAGUGGCGAACGGGUGAGUAACACGUGAGUAACCUACCCUUGACUUUGGGAUAACUUCAGGAAACUGGGGCUAAUACCGGAUAGGAGCUCCUGCUGCAUGGUGGGGGUUGGAAAGUUUCGGCGGUUGGGGAUGGACUCGCGGCUUAUCAGCUUGUUGGUGGGGUAGUGGCUCACCAAGGCUUUGACGGGGAGCCGGCCUGAGAGGGUGACCGGCCACAUUGGGACUGGGAUACGGCCCAGACUCCUACGGGAGGCAGCAGUGGGGAAUAUUGCACAAUGGGCGGAAGCCUGAUGCAGCAACGCCGCGUGCGGGAUGACGGCCUUCGGGUUGUAAACCGCUUUCGCCUGUGACGAAGCGUGAGUGACGGUAAUGGGUAAAGAAGCACCGGCUAACUACGUG